rnacentral:tRNA from 1 species
UCGCUGGAGGACUAGUGGUUAGGACACAGAGCUCUCACCUCUGCGGCCCGGGUUCGAUUCCUGGCCAGGGAA